UGAGGGUUUAACUGUCUCUUUUAGUCAAUCAAUCAAACUGAUCCCCUAGUAAAAAAGCUAGGAUAUUUACAUAAGACCAGAAGACCCUGCGAAGCUUAAACCAAACUAUUAAAUCAUAUAAUAACUACUUUCGGUUGGGGCGACCUUGGAAAAAAAAAGAACUUCCAAACACAAUGAUUUUAAUCAUAUUUAUAGGCCCACAAGCCUUAAACCUAUGACCCAGUUAAAACUGACAAUUGAACCAAGUUACUCCAGGGAUAACAGCGCUAUCUUCUUCAAGAGCCCAUAUCAAAAAGAAGGUUUACGACCUCGAUGUUGGAUCA
rnacentral:rRNA from 1 species